UGUCACAAGCUGAAGGCCAUAGCAGAAGCACUCAGUGUGGCCUGUUGGAUUCUAGUGAAUCUGAGAAUUCUGCU
rnacentral:ribozyme from 1 species